GAUGAACGCUAGCGGCAGGCCUAAUACAUGCAAGUCGAACGAGAUUAAGAGGCUUGCUUCUUAUGAAAGUGGCGCACGGGUGCGUAACGCGUAUGCAACCUACCUUAAUCAGGGGGAUAGCCCGAAGAAAUUCGGAUUAAGACCGCAUAAAAACACAGGAUAGCAUUAUCCAAUGUUCAAAUAUUUAUAGGAUUUAGAUGGGCAUGCGUGUCAUUAGCUAGUUGGCGGGGUAACGGCCCACCAAGGCGACGAUGACUAGGGGAUCUGAGAGGAUGACCCCCCGCACUGGUACUGAGACACGGACCAGACUCCUACGGGAGGCAGCAGUAAGGAAUAUUGGUCAAUGGAGGGAACUCUGAACCAGCCAUGCCGCGUGCAGGAAGACAGCCCUCUGGGUCGUAAACUGCUUUUAUUCGGGAAUAAACCUUUCUACGUGUAGGAAGCUGAAUGUACCGAAGGAAUAAGGAUCGGCUAACUCCGUG
rnacentral:rRNA from 1 species